GGUAUUUGUAACACAAGUAACCAAGAAAGGACAAAUAUCUAGAAUACAUGAGACAAAGUCAAAAAACAUAAAGGGGAAGGAGUCUAGGAUGAAUAAGCGCUUCAAAAACAGUAAGCCCAGAUGGCUGAAAACAGAGAGUGCUCAGUCUCACAGCCACUACAAACUAAACCCCAUGAGAAGUGGGUCGUGGGGUUGGCAGAGCUCCCCUCCUUAAACCCCAGCAUCGGGCUUCCGCCCCCAGGGCUUAAAGACCAGCCUUUUCCAUUUAUUUCCCUCCCCUUUCUGAGCCCUAGCUCUCCUGGCCAUGGUAUUUCCACCAGUCAACAGAAACUCGGAUAUUUAAACAAAGGGGUUUCGUAUAGAGGAGACUGGCCUCAGGAUGAUGUCGGUGCUGAAACACCAGGCAUGGGGCAGUGAGCAGCCCAGGGGACAGCAGACAGCCUACAGGAGCUGGGCCUUAGCUGGGUAUCCACAUGGAGAUGCACGUGGUGAUGAAUGUGGCAGAGGAGCCUGGGAGGGGCCAGAGCCACACUGAGGGCCCAGGGGUGCUGCUGAAACUCAGAGGAUCCCCAAGAAAGAGAACUUGGAUAGGGCCAGAGGUUGGAGUGUUAUGGCUUGGAUCUGAAAUGUUCCCCAAAAGCUCAUGUAUUGAAAGCUUGGUCCUCAGUGAAGGAGUGUUCAGAGAUGGGCCCCUGGGAGAUGACUGAGCCGUGAGGGCACUGGCGCAUCACGGGCCACGGCGAGGUGGUGAAUCUGUAGGAGGCCGGCUGAGUUGGAGAACACAGGUCCUUCGGGGUGUGCCAUGAAGGUCAUGCUUGUGUCUCUCUCUGCUUCUUGAC
rnacentral:lncRNA from 1 species